CUACCAGAGUACUAUGAAUAAUAGAGAAUUUAAAACUCAAAGAACUUGGCGGUGUUUUAGACCACUUAGGGGAACCUGUCUCGUAAUCGACAGUCCACGUUGUACCUGACCUUUUCUUGUUUUCAGUUUGUAUACCGUUGUCGUCAGGUAACUUUUUAGAAAAUAGAAGUUGGCUAUAGAAAUUUAGUAAUUUAGUACGUCAAAUCAAGGUGCAGCUAACGAAAAGGGGAGGAUGGGUUACAAUUAUAUAAUUAUAAUGACGGAUGUCCACAUGAAAGUGUGGGCUGUGAAGGAGGACUUAGAAGUAAAUUGGAUUAAGAAAAACAGUUUGAAUGAGGCUCUGAAACGUGU
rnacentral:rRNA from 1 species